rnacentral:rRNA from 1 species
AUUGAACGCUGGCGGCAUGCUUUACACAUGCAAGUCGAACGGCAGCGCGGGCUUCGGCCUGGCGGCGAGUGGCGAACGGGUGAGUAAUGCAUCGGAACGUGCCCAGUAGUGGGGGGAUAGCCCAGCGAAAGCCGGAUUAAUACCGCAUACGACCUGAGGGUGAAAGCGGGGGACCGAAAGGCCUCGCGCUAUUGGAGCGGCCGAUGUCGGAUUAGCUAGUUGGUGGGGUAAAGGCUUACCAAGGCGACGAUCCGUAGCUGGUCUGAGAGGACGACCAGCCACACUGGGACUGAGACACGGCCCAGACUCCUACGGGAGGCAGCAGUGGGGAAUUUUGGACAAUGGGGGCAACCCUGAUCCAGCCAUGCCGCGUGCGGGAAGAAGGCCUUCGGGUUGUAAACCGCUUUUGUUCGGGAAGAAAUCCUCUGGGCUAAUACCCCGGGGGGAUGACGGUACCGGAAGAAUAAGCACCGGCUAACUACGUG